rnacentral:rRNA from 1 species
UGGGUUAAGUCCCGCAACGAGCGCAACCCCUGUCUUCAGUUACCAACGGGUCAUGCCGGGAACUCUGGAGAGACUGCCCAGGAGAACGGGGAGGAAGGUGGGGAUGACGUCAAGUCAGCAUGGCCUUUAUGCCUGGGGCUACACACGUGCUACAAUGGCCGGCACAAAGCGCUGCAAACCCGUGAGGGGGAGCCAAUCGCAAAAAACCGGCCUCAGUUCAGAUCGAGGUCUGCAACUCGACCUCGUGAAGGCGGAAUCGCUAGUAAUCCCGGAUCAGCACGCCGGGGUGAAUACGUUCCCGGGCCUUGUACACACCGCCCGUCACACCACGAAAGUUUGUUGUACCUGAAGUCGUCGACGCCAACCGCAAGGAGGCAGACGCCCACGGUAUGACCGAUGAUUGGGGUGAAGUCGUAACAAGGUAAAUGCA